AUUGAACGCUGGCGGCAGACUUAACACAUGCAAGUCGAGCGGAGAUGAGGUGCUUGCACCUUAUCUUAGCGGCGGACGGGUGAGUAAUGCUUAGGAAUCUGCCUAUUAGUGGGGGACAACAUUCCGAAAGGAAUGCUAAUACCGCAUACGUCCUACGGGAGAAAGCAGGGGAUCUUCGGACCUUGCGCUAAUAGAUGAGCCUAAGUCGGAUUAGCUAGUUGGUGGGGUAAAGGCCUACCAAGGCGACGAUCUGUAGCGGGUCUGAGAGGAUGAUCCGCCACACUGGGACUGAGACACGGCCCAGACUCCUACGGGAGGCAGCAGUGGGGAAUAUUGGACAAUGGGGGGAACCCUGAUCCUGCCAUGCCGCGUGUGUGAAGAAGGCCUUAUGGUUGUAAAGCACUUUAAGCGAGGAGGAGGCUACUGAGACUAAUACUCUUGGAUAGUGGACGUUACUCGCAGAAUAAGCAUCGGCUAACUCUGUGCCAGCAGCCGCCGUAACAC
rnacentral:rRNA from 1 species